AGUGAACGCUGGCGGUAGGCCUAACACAUGCAAGUCGAACGGCAGCACAGUAAGAGCUUGCUCUUACGGGUGGCGAGUGGCGGACGGGUGAGGAAUACAUCGGAAUCUACUUUUUCGUGGGGGAUAACGUAGGGAAACUUACGCUAAUACCGCAUACGACCUACGGGUGAAAGCAGGGGAUCUUCGGACCUUGCGCGAUUGAAUGAGCCGAUGUCGGAUUAGCUAGUUGGCGGGGUAAAGGCCCACCAAGGCGACGAUCCGUAGCUGGUCUGAGAGGAUGAUCAGCCACACUGGAACUGAGACACGGUCCAGACUCCUACGGGAGGCAGCAGUGGGGAAUAUUGGACAAUGGGCGCAAGCCUGAUCCAGCCAUACCGCGUGGGUGAAGAAGGCCUUCGGGUUGUGAAGCCCUUUUGUUGGGAAAGAAAGGCAGCAGGUUAAUACCCCGCUGUUCUGACGGUACCCAAAGAAUAAGCACCGGCUAACUUCGUG
rnacentral:rRNA from 1 species